rnacentral:rRNA from 1 species
GACGAACGCUGGCGGCGUGCUUAACACAUGCAAGUCGAACGGAAAGGCCUCUUUCGGGGGGUACUCGAGUGGCGAACGGGUGAGUAACACGUGAGUAACCUGCCCUUGACUUUGGGAUAACUUCAGGAAACUGGGGCUAAUACCGGAUAGGAGCUCCUGCUGCAUGGUGGGGGUUGGAAAGUUUCGGCGGUUGGGGAUGGACUCGCGGCUUAUCAGCUUGUUGGUGGGGUAGUGGCUUACCAAGGCUUUGACGGGUAGCCGGCCUGAGAGGGUGACCGGCCACAUUGGGACUGAGAUACGGCCCAGACUCCUACGGGAGGCAGCAGUGGGGAAUAUUGCACAAUGGGUGGAAGCCUGAUGCAGCAACGCCGUGUGCGGGAUGACGGCCUUCGGGUUGUAAACCGCUUUCGCUCAUGACGAAGCUUUGUGUGACGGCAGUGGGUAAAGAAGCACCGGCUAACUACGU